AGAGUUUGAUUCCAUGGCUCAGAACGAACGCUGGCGGCAGGCCUAACACAUGCAAGUCGAGCGAAGCCUUCGGGCUUAGCGGCGGACGGGUGAGUAACGCGUGGGAACGUGCCCUUUGGUACGGAAUAGCCCCGGGAAACUGGGAGUAAUACCGUAUGUGGUCGAGAGACGAAAGAUUUAUCGCCAAAGGAUCGGCCCGCGUUGGAUUAGGUAGUUGGUGGGGUAAUGGCCUACCAAGCCGACGAUCCAUAGCUGGUUUGAGAGGAUGAUCAGCCACACUGGGACUGAGACACGGCCCAGACUCCUACGGGAGGCAGCAGUGGGGAAUCUUAGACAAUGGGGGAAACCCUGAUCUAGCCAUGCCGCGUGAUCGAUGAAGGCCUUAGGGUUGUAAAGAUCUUUCAGUGGGGAAGAUAAUGACU
rnacentral:rRNA from 1 species